UACGAAGGGUGCAAGCGUUACUCGGAAUUACUGGGCGUAAAGCGUGCGUAGGUGGUUCGUUAAGUCUGUCGUGAAAGCCCCGGGCUCAACCUGGGAAUGGCGAUGGAUACUGGCGGGCUAGAGUGCGGUAGAGGAGAGUGGAAUUCCCGGUGUAGCAGUGAAAUGCGUAGAGAUCGGGAGGAACAUCAGUUGCGAAGGCGGCUCUCUGGACCAGCACUGACACUGAGGAGCGAAAGCAUGGGGAGCAAACAGG
rnacentral:rRNA from 1 species